GACAGCAGCAGCCGCGGUAAUACAGAGGGUGCAAGCGUUAAUCGGAAUUACUGGGCGUAAAGCGCGCGUAGGUGGUUUGUUAAGUUGGAUGUGAAAUCCCCGGGCUCAACCUGGGAACUGCAUCCAAAACUGGCAAGCUAGAGUAUGGUAGAGGGUGGUGGAAUUUCCUGUGUAGCGGUGAAAUGCGUAGAUAUAGGAAGGAACACCAGUGGCGAAGGCGACCACCUGGACUGAUACUGACACUGAGGUGCGAAAGCGUGGGGAGCAAACAGGAUUAGAUACCCCGUAGUCCCUGUCUCUUAUAUA
rnacentral:rRNA from 1 species